AGAUUUAUUUGGGGAGCAGGAUGUGAACUUGCCUAACUUCAAGAGCUGAGUCCAUGGUACCCAAAUCAUUUUCUAGUGGAGAUCAGGCAUCUCAUCUGCUGAAGCUGGGCAGGUUGCUGUAAUCCCAUAUAAAGACUUUAAGAGAGCCUUUCAUAGCAGGAGUAGCAUUGGAAGGGCAUCUGACAUCCUGCAGCGGAUUACGAAGCUGAAUUUGUUGACAGCUCAUCCUUGAAAUAUUUUGCCAUGACACAAACGUAUUCUGAUCCUUUACUCUUGCAAAUCUGUACCUCCCUCCCCCAUGCUAGUUUGGGAAAACUAUUUGGAAAGUGAACUACAAAUCUUAAUGCAACUGGUAUUAGCUGCAACUAGUAUUAGACUGUCCUCCUUUCUCCACAGAUAUACCAUGCUAAAUUGUCUGUAUACCAGUGAGGCGUUUUCAUUUUUGAAAAACAAACAUUAAUUUUUGACAGUUGUGCAGGUUAUUAUCACUGGUCAGAUGUAUACCUAGAUGACUAAAUGACUGUCUCUGAGAUCUGUUGUCUGGAAACUGUCGUAUCACUAUCGAAGUGGUUAAGAGCUAUCUUUCUGAAGGGAACAGGGUAAGACUGUUGUACCUCAUUGAUAUGAACUCGUAAAAACCUUGUUAUGUCUUUCCAUGUUUCUUAGAAGUGGAGAAAUGGGCACUAAGAUUUUUAGGUUAUGUACAGAUGAUGUACUUUACUUCCGACAAGCCUGAGUCAGCCUUAACCAGCAGAAAGGACAGCUGAAUUCACGUUUAGUUCAGAUUGCCAGAACACUGAAGUUAGAGAGUUAACUCAUUUCUAGUUGUUAUCUUGAGAUGUGAAUUACUAUGUUGAUUGCCAAGGAUCAGUGAAUAGCCUGGUUCCCUUCACUAAGAAGCCGAGUGGAGAAAAAUGAAAGGUCAUCCUUUGGAGUAGGUAGAUACUAUGUGAACUGUGCUGCUGCGACAAUUGAUCCCGCUGCCAAUGCGACUACCGCCGCUGCCAAUGCGACUACAGCCGCUGCGACUACCGCCGCUGCCAAUGCAACUACAGCCGCUGCGACUACCGCCGCUGCCAAUGCGACUACCGCCGCUGCCAAUGCGACUACGGUUCAUACUACUAUAGCUAACAGCACUAAUGCAACUACACAUGCUCCUCUACCUACAACUGCCAGUUCUUCAGCCACCAAAACAACCAGUAUACCAGGUACAAACGCUACUGUGACUCCUGCACCCUCUCGACGCAAAUCUACAUUUGAUGCCGCCAGUUUCAUAGGUGGAAUUGUCCUUGUGCUGGGUCUGCAGGCUGUAAUUUUCUUUCUGUACAAAUUCUGCAAGUCGAAAGACCGAAACUACCACACGCUUUAGGACCUGCCACUUUAUAAUGGACUAGUAGCCCAACACCUGUAGUUCACUGAACCAAAAUAUCUUCUGUUGCUCAUGGAAGACAGCAGUUCAUAAUAUCCUUUAAAUCUCUAAAAGAAGACUUUAAAAGAAUAUUUUUGCAACAUUAUACUUGGCAAGAGGUGAUAUGAAUCUCCAACAGGAUUACUUGCAAUAUGCUGCAUGGGUUCUAAUGGCCAUCUUAUUUUUCUUUUGCGGCUGCUGCUGUGGGACUCUCUUUCGAUAGGCCAAAAGUAGACGUUCACAGAUUCUUAUACUCAGUGGCAACACUGUCUUGAGUAGACAAUCUCAUGGUGUCUUAUUGUGAAGGCUAAUUUAAUCAACCUUUGAUGCAGUAUCCCUUCAGUUUUAUCAAGAUGUGAAUCAUUGGUGACUGACUUCAGGGAGUGAAAUACCAUUUAUACUAGCUUGUGGCCCUUACAGCACGCUGCUAGAAAGGUGAACAAAAUUUGUAGAAGCAGAUAAUGUCUUAAUGAAAUAAAUUAAUAAUUCUUUUUUUUACACAGAAAUAAAAGUUGCUUGAUACAUACUGCAUUCCAAACUAAAAUCCUGUGCCCUUUCCAAUUAAUGUUGAGAGUGGAGAGGGGAUUUAUGGGUAAUCUUCAGAAAGGGGAAAUGAAGAUUAGUGCCUUAAAAGAUUAAAAAUUAAUAGGCUGCAAAACCAUCUCUUUUAUUUCACAGGUAAACAAAACCUAUUAGGUACUAGCUUUAUACAGGAGAACAGAAUAUGAGUGACUUUAAGCAUUCCAGUUUCAAAAACUUCCUACACUAAACAACAGUUCCUUAUUGACCUUAUUUCUGAGGGUGAGGGAGCAUGGUACUGUAAUCUGCAGCCAUAAACAGGAGAUAUAAGUUGUUGACCUUUUGUUCUGGCCUGCAAAGACUAAGUGCAAGUGACAAGAGUCAGUACAGUUCACUCCCUGCAUUAAAAGGUAGCCAUGUACAAAUACUAGUGUUAGGGAAGUUAGGAGGUUUUUAUUCUUUCAAUGCUUCGUAAAUUCACUUGUUACAAUUAAUUUUGGCAUUCUUCUUUGGCACCCUCCCACCCUUCUACGUGUCUGCUUGCUGAAGGAGCAAUAGAUUGUAGUUCAAAGGAUCUGCUGAUCACUGAUUUGAUCUGAGUCAGGAUUGUUAUAGUCCUGGGACUGCUUUUGUGGGGAGGAUGGGGAAGUGUUGUAAGGUGUGUGGGUUUCUUUGGUGGUAGUGGUUUUUUUGUUUUUGCCCCUUUCCUUGCAUCGUGUUUGUGUGACCCUGAAGUGAGCUGAUUCAAGAAACCUAUGCAGCCAGAUAUUAAGUUUUUUUUUUUUUUUUCCUAUCUGGAUCAAAGUGUCAGCAAAGGUACGUCAUCUCCAAUGCAGACUGACUUGAGCACCUGUGAAAAUAAACCCAUAGGAAAAAAAAUGGAAGUAAAGAUAAAAUGAAGUGGUAGGUUUAGCACUUGAUACUUAUCUUUUGAUGUGGAUUGAUUGAUAUUCCUUGAUCUUCAAUUUCAGGAAAAUUUGUAGCACUGUCUUUCUAGCUCUGACUUGACUAGAAUUUGGCAUCCAAUACAACAAAAUGACAGCGUUGAUGCAAAUAAUAGUCAUGGCAGUGUAGCUUAAAUAUAAAGCAAAUUCUAAGCGCACUUUAGUUGCAGUGUUGCUUUCUCGUGCUCUUCUAGUUUAGUGGCAUUGUUUCUAUUGUGCUGCAUAGAAAACUGAAGUUGCUACAAAAUGCAGAAGUUAAUUACCAGUACUGUAUCUUAGUUUUGUUUAGAAAACAAGCUAAAAAAAGACAAUCAGCUCAGGUUUAAUAAACAGCAGAGUGAGCAGCCAGUUUCCAGCAACAGUAUAUGGAUUAGAUGGUAUAUCCUUGGCCUUAUUAUGAAAUCACUUAAUCUGUCCUUUCCCUGUCUCUGAUUUACUUUAUUACAUUCAUUCAUUUAAAAAGAUACCCAUGAGCUUGUGUUCUGUGCUUUGAAAUGAGCAAAAUACUCUCCUAAAGUGUGACAGAGUUCUCCUUCAGCUCAGCAGAGCAAACUAUAUUGCUAGUAUAUAAAUUUGUCUUUCUUUUCUUUCUUUUUUUUUUUCUUUUUUUUUUUUUUGCCUCAAAGGGCUAUCUUUUGGGAAAUUUGCAGAAAAAUGCUACAGGAUGCAAAAAAAUGCUACAGGAUGCUUCACCACAUGGAAGACAUUGCCACAGUAAAGUUGUUGCUCUGUAAAAUGUUGCUAAAAUGCUUACUCAAGAGCUGUGCUGAUCCCGAUUUAGUUCAUAAAGUAUGCUGAUGAAGCAAACAAAAAUAAUUUUUAAAGUGCCUUAAAAUUGCUUAAUCUUUUGCCUCAAAUUUGUUUAAAAGGGUAGAAGGGGUACCUUGCCUUAGUUACUAAAUUUUUCUUGGUGCCAGCAAUUUCUACUUUCAAAGACUUUAGGAAACCCAGGAUCUCUGAUGUGUACAGAUGCCAAUCUGAAAGAAACUCAAGCUUUGUAGUACCUGAAUUUAGUCUUGUUCUGGAAGGCCUGCACUGCACAUAGCUUGCUCAGUAGCUUCGCCAA